rnacentral:rRNA from 1 species
CAGUGCUUAAGUUAUACUUAGGCUUUUGCCAAGUGUAACAAGCUUGGCGAAUAAGGGGUGGGUAAGACUGGUGCCAGCCGCCGCGGUAACACCAGCGCCUCGAGUGGGGAUCGCGAUUAUUGGGUCUAAAGCGUCCGUAGCAGGCAUCGUAAAUGCUUUGUGAAAUCGGCAGGCAUAACCUGCCGGCGUGCAGAGUAGACUGCAGUGCUAGAGACCGGGAGAGGUUGGAAGUAUUCUUUGGGUACCGGUAAAAUGGGUUAAUCCAGAGAGGACUACCUAUGGCGAAGGCAUCCAACCAGAACGGUUCUGACUGUGAGGGACGAAAGCUAGGGGAGCAAAACGGAUUAGAUACCCGAGUAGUCCUAGCCGUAAACGCUGUGAGCAAGGUAUUGCGCCUCCCACGAGGAUGCGCAGUGUCGAAACGAAGGUGUUAAGCUCACCACCAGGGAAGUACGGUCGCAAGGCUGAAACUUUAAGGAAUUGGCGGGGGAGCGCCACAAGGGGUGCGGCGUGCGGUUCAAUCUAACUCAACGCAGAGAACCUCACUAGGCCCGACGGCAGAAUGAAGGUCAUGCUGAAGACAUUACCUGACAAGCCGAGAGGAAGUGCAUGGCC